AAGAUGGCGGCGUAAGCAGACUCGGAACUCACCUCCUCCCGUGGACACAGCCAAUUUACAACUACUCGCGGAAAAAUUACCCCUGAGACAGAACUGAAAACUGGAUGAGAGGAACUCCUGCAACAACGGACAAUCCUAACUGGGGUAGAAGAGGCAGAGACUCCCUUCCGGAGAGGAGAAACGCCGCCUUCACAAGCCGCCAGCUUCACGGCCGCCGGGAGCAGCGCACAGAGAACUUAAAGGAGUAGAUGGAGGAAAAAGGAAAUGAAGACUGAGGAGGGCGCCUGUGUUUCAGACAAGAUGAUAAAGACCCAGAUCUCCUUGCUUCUCUCUUCAAUACAACUUGUGACAACAUGCAGUCAAAAUGGAAUUCUGAGAGGUGGUAAGAAGGAGAAGUGGUUUGAGACUCCAAGACUGGAGGAAGAACACAGUGGCAAGGCGUCUCAGGUCCCCCACCCAACAGAAGAAGGAGACCCAGAUCUGGCGUUUCCCAGCCCCCGCCUAGCAGCAGAAGGCAGCCAGGUAGCACCAGCAAGGCCCAGUGGGAGCCCCAGAAGCACCAGGUAAACAGGCAGACCAAAAUGAGACAGCAAAAGCCCUGGCAGUUAAACGUCAUUGGAACCACAGGCCACAAAAUAAGCCGGUAGCUGUGUGCCAGAACUCAACAGGAUGACUGCCUGCUGAAGCAAAAGACUCAGAUAGGACCCGGAAUCUCCUAAGAUCUGCAUCCACCCACCCCCAUGUGGAUGGAGUCCUGCACUGCCCCCAAGCACCUCUGGGAGCACAAGCCCCGUGCUUUCUGUUGUAUUUUAAAUUUUUCUUUAAUUUUUUUCCAGAUUCAAAAUUAAAUAAGUGCGUUGUAGAAAAUCUGGAAAAUAGAAAUAAAGAAGAAAUUAUAUCACCUGUAACCACGCCAGGGACAAAGCACGCUCGUAUGUAUGUGCGUGUGUGUCUGCGUGUGUGCACGUGUGUGUAUAUAUCAAUAUUAUCCAUAUAUCCUUCCAGUCUCUAUAUCUUUAUAUGCAGAGAAAAUGUUUUUCUCUUAUAAAAAAUAACAUUAUUCUGUGUAUAACAUAUUUGUAACUUGCCUUUUUCCUAUAGAAUAUGUUCCUUCUCUACAUAUUAAAUGCUCU